rnacentral:lncRNA from 1 species
CCACAAAACGAUGGGAAACAGCUGUGCCCCCAGGAAAACCAAGUACCCCUGAGAAGAUUAACAAGACAUCUGGAAAUAGGGAGGCCCAAGAAAAGGAGGAGAGAUGGGGAAGAGCUCAUCGGUGGAGCAGUCAGAACACACACAACAUUAAUCGAUUAAGUUUGUCAUCUUCUAUGGGUGCAGUUCAUGGUACCCCCAAAACAAUUACACAUAACAGGGACCCAAAAGGCGGAAACAUGACUGGACCCACAGACUGCGUGAGAGAAAGCAGCUGGUGAUUUAUGAAGAGAUCAGCGACCCUGAGGAAGAUGACGAGUAA